rnacentral:rRNA from 1 species
AGGUCAGCAUACUGCCGUGAAUACGUUCCCGGGCCUUGUACACACCGCCCGUCACACCAUGAGAGUUGGGAAUACCCGAAGCCUGUGAGCUAACUGUAAGGAGGCAGCAGUCGAAGGUAGAAUCAAUGAUUGGGGUGAAGUCGUAACAAGGUAAC